GCCGGCGUAGCUCAGUUGGUAGAGCGCAUCCUUGGUAAGGAUGAGGUCGUGGGUUCGUGUCCCAUCGUUGGCU
rnacentral:tRNA from 1 species